GAGUUUGAUCAUGGCUCAGGACGAACGCUGGCGGCGUGCUUAACACAUGCAAGUCGAGCGGUAAGGCUCCUUCGGGAGUACACGAGCGGCGAACGGGUGAGUAACACGUGAGCAAUCUGGCCCUUCACAGUACGGGAUAACCUCGGGAAACCGAAGCUAAUACCCGGAUACGACCAUCGGUGGGCAUCAUCUGAUGGUGGAAAGUUCCGGGCGGUGAACGGAUGAGCUCGCGGCCUAUCAGCUUGUUGGUGGGGUAAUGGCCUACCAA
rnacentral:rRNA from 1 species